rnacentral:rRNA from 1 species
GGUUUAAUUCGAUGAUACGCGAGGAACCUUACCCGGGCUUGAACUGCAGGCGAACGAUUCAGAGAUGAUGAGGCCCUUCGGGGCGCCUGUGGAGGUGCUGCAUGGUUGUCGUCAGCUCGUGCCGUGAGGUGUCGGCUUAAGUGCCAUAACGAGCGCAACCCCUGUUCUCAGUUGCCAUCGGGUGAUGCCGGCACUCUGUGAAGACUGCCUCCGCAAGGAGUGAGGAAGGUGGGGGAUGAC